GUUGGCUUAGUUUAGAGAAAUGUUAUAUUGUGGUUAUAAAGAGAGGGGUUAUUCCCUAGCUGAC
rnacentral:tRNA from 1 species